ACACGGAUUGGGAACUGUGAGGGAUUCUCUCUAUUUGGGCAUCUGGAGGAUUCUUAGUUAAUGAUGCAACCCGCCAAUCAAAAC
rnacentral:ncRNA from 2 species